GGGGGAUCCCAACUAAUUUCUGGUUCUAAGAACCAAGUGGCCUGUGCUCUGCUCUUUGACUGUACGUGGAAAUUUCUGGCAAAACAAACUCACAAAUUUCUAUCACUUAAAACUGGUUUUCAGGAAAAAAGCAUUCAAGAGAAGGAGACUCUUAAGGUGACAGCUGGGAAUCGGCUACAUCAGAGGAUGCAGGAUUCACCAGGUCAUCCAGGAGAUGCAGGCUCAGUGCUGACAGAACCAGUCCCAGGAGCACCCACAGGAAUCCCUCUGGGGGAGGGUCUCUUCAAGGAUGGAGCUAAAAAAAAAUGCAAGAGGGACCGAGUGAGGGCAGAAGAUAUUCAGAUGGCCUGUAAGACCCCAUGAGACCACAUCCCCCA
rnacentral:lncRNA from 1 species